rnacentral:rRNA from 1 species
AUUGAACGCUGGCGGCAUGCUUUACACAUGCAAGUCGAACGGUAACAGGCCUUCGGGUGCUGCCGAGUGGCGCACGGGUGAGUAAUGCAUCGGAACGUACCCAGAGGUGGGGGAUAACGCAGCGAAAGCUGUGCUAAUACCGCAUGUGAUCUGAGGAUGAAAGCGGGGGACCGAGCAGCAAUGUUUGGCCUCGCGCCUUUGGAGCGGCCGAUGUCGGAUUAGCUAGUUGGUGGGAUAAAGGCCUACCAAGGCGACGAUCCGUAGCUGGUCUGAGAGGACGACCAGCCACACUGGGACUGAGACACGGCCCAGACUCCUACGGGAGGCAGCAGUGGGGAAUUUUGGACAAUGGGCGCAAGCCUGAUCCAGCAAUGCCGCGUGCAGGAAGAAGGCCUUCGGGUUGUAAACCGCUUUUGGCAGGAACGAAACGGUGUCCGCUAAUACCGGGCGCUAAUGACGGUACCUGCAGAAUAAGCACCGGCUAACUACGUG